rnacentral:rRNA from 1 species
AUUGAACGCUGGCGGCAUGCCUUACACAUGCAAGUCGAACGGCAGCGGGGGAGAAGCUUGCUUUUCCUGCCGGCGAGUGGCGAACGGGUGAGUAAUACAUCGGAACGUGCCCUGUAGUGGGGGAUAACUAGUCGAAAGAUUAGCUAAUACCGUAUACGACCUGAGGGUGAAAGUGGGGGACCGCAAGGCCUCAUGCUAUAGGAGCGGCCGAUGUAUGAUUAGCUAGUUGGGGGGGUAAAGGCCUACCAAGGCGACGAUGAGUAGCUGGUCUGGGAGGACGAUCAGCCACACUGGGACUGAUACACGGCCCAGACUCCUACGGGAGGCAGCAGUGGGGAAUUUUGGACAAUGGGCGAAAGCCUGAUCCAGCAAUGCCGCGUGUGUGAAGAAGGCCUUCGGGUUGUAAAGCACUUUUGUCCGGAAAGAAAUGGCUCUGGUUAAUACCUGGGGUCGAUGACGGUACCGGAAGAAUAAGGACCGGCUAACUACGUGCCAGCAGCCGCGGUAACAC